rnacentral:lncRNA from 1 species
UUGGGGUUGGCAUCAACGGUUGGGUUUGGGUUAUGGUUAGGGUUAGGGUUUGGAUGAUAGAGGUGGAUGAUAGAGGUGGAGUAGGGUUAGGGUAAUGCAUGGUCAGUGUUAGGGUUUCAACUAGGCUUUUCAAUUGGGAAGAACCAGGGAUGGUAAGGGUUUAGAUUAGGGGUAUUGGGAUGGUGGUAGGGAGGGUGGGGGUUGAUGCUAGGGUUUGGAUUUGGGUUAGGGUUAGAUU